rnacentral:misc_RNA from 1 species
GAACGCACAUUGCGCCCUUUGGCAUUCCGAAGGGCAUGCCCGUUCGAGCGUCAUUACACCAAUCAAGCCUGGCUUGGUAUUGGGCGUCGGGAGACCCCGCGCCCCUAAUUCAUCGGCUGGACGGUUCGAAUCUCAGCGUUGUGGUCAUUCAAUUCGCUGGCGAGGACGACCGGACGCGCCGUUAAACCUUUAACACAGGUUGACCUCGGAUCGGGUAGGGAUACCCGCUGAACUUAAG